UGGCUUUACCUGAAGACGGUGCGCUAACCGCAAGGAGGCAGGCGACCACGGUAGGGUCAGCAACUGGGGUGAAGUCGUAACAAGGUAGCCGUAGGUGAACCUGCAGAAGGAUCA
rnacentral:rRNA from 1 species